GCAGCGCUGGAAAAAGAGCCCUUGGAUGACCCACUUGGAGUCUGAGACAUCAGAAGUGCUACUUCAGAAAAGAAAGCAGAGGAAGGCACCAGAAGCCAUGCAGAAGAGACACAUCUGGACUGUGUAUGGCAGAUUGCAGCAGAGCCCAGGGAAGGCAAUUAAAGACCCAGAUGAAGACCAGAACAUCAGACGUCCGUCUGGAGUCCAUGUGCCUGAAUUGCUGUUCCUCCCCACCCUAAUAUAAACAGUGAGGUAAGGGCUUAUUUCUCAGCUGCCACUGAGCAGCAUUGGCUGACACCAGCACCGGGACCCCCAGAGCCCUGCCCAGAACCCAAGAGGGUCCCGGCCUCUCUGCCCUGCUCCCUGCAGGCAUAGGGGGCACAGCUCCAUCUCCCUGCCAGGCGGCGAUGUGCCCACGGGCCCCCAGCAGCGAGCAGCCUGGGUUUGAUGCUUGUGCUGCAGACCUGCCUCUGCAGAGGUGUUUGCAGCCAUUGGCACGGGCGCUGCAGAGCCGUUGCCUGGCAGCACACGCGUCCUCUUCCCCAUGACGAGCACUGAGUAUCGUCUCCAUCGACCCGACCACCUCCCAGGCUCCAGAUCCCUGCCCAGGAUGGAGAGCCAAAAGCAACCUGCACGCGGGAUGUGGAGACCCUUGUGCUAAACCUCACAGGUGAAUGCAUCCCAAAUGCCACUGUGCUCAGCAAUUCAGCAGAGAUUAGCGCUAGGAAAGCAAACCCUCUUAAAGGAACGCAUGCUAUUUAGUGUGCAUGAAUAUUUAGCUCUCUACAAAGCUACCAGAGGAAAAUUGGUUGUGAAGCUAAGCCUCAAGUCUGCCUUCCUGUGCUUGGCUCUGUGGUUCCCGAUGAGCACAUGCUGAUAUGUUCCAUGUGCCACAGGGAGGCAAAUCUCUGUGUCGGAGAGCACGGGGCUGCUCUGUGCCUCUGUGCCUCAUAAGCUGUGUGCAAUGUGCUUAUCUGCUCCCAGCUUGGCACUCGGCCUCCGAGGAUGCCACGAAUACAAUUUCUGUGCUGUAGUAACUCAGAUGCUGAACAUAACUAUUGCAGGAUCACAGGAUUGCGAAUGUUAGAGCUGUAAAAAUGGUGACCUUCAGAAACAUCCGUCUUUUUUAAAAGAAAGCAAGCCCUCAUGAGUCAGGCACACUGCCCCCAGCAGCAGCAGCUGUAUUUUGGGGUGGGGGG
rnacentral:lncRNA from 1 species